rnacentral:tRNA from 1 species
GCAAUAGUAGUAUAAAAAAGUAUUUCUAUCUUCCACAUAGAAGGUCCGUUUUUUGGUUAUUGUA